UGACCUCGGAUCAGGUAGAGCCCAUCACCUCGCUGAACUUAAGCAUAUCAAUAAGCGGA
rnacentral:rRNA from 1 species